AGUACAACACCAACCAGCGGGACCUGAACGUGCGGCAGGCCUGGGAGCAGGGCUACACCGGCAAGGGUAUCGUGGUCUCCAUCCUGGAUGAUGGCAUUGAGAAGAACCACCCCGACCUGGAGGGCAACUAUGAUCCCGGGGCCAGCUUUGACGUCAACGACCAAGACCCCGACCCGCAGCCCCGCUACACGCAGAUGAAUGACAA